GGAGUUAGCCGGUGCUUCUUCUGCGAGUAACGUCACAGAUGUAAGGUAUUAACUUACACCCUUUCCUCCUCGCUGAAAGUGCUUUACAACCCGAAGGCCUUCUUCACACACGCGGCAUGGCUGCAUCAGGGUUUCCCCCAUUGUGCAAUAUUCCCCACUGCUGCCUCCCGUAGGAGUCUGGGCCGUGUCUCAGUCCCAGUGUGGCUGAUCAUCCUCUCAGACCAGCUAGGGAUCGUCGCCUAGGUGAGCCUUUACCUCACCUACUAGCUAAUCCCACCUGGGCUUAUCCAUCAGCGCAAGGCCCGAAGGUCCCCUGCUUUCCCCCGUACGGGCGUAUGCGGUAUUAGCAGUCGUUUCCAACUGUUAUCCCCACAAAUGGGCAAAUUCCCAGGCAUUACUCACCCGUCCGCCGCUCGUCAUCUUCAAAAGCAAGCUUUUGAAAUGUUACCGCUCGACUUGCAUGUGUUAGGCCUGCCGCCAGCGUUCAAUCUGAGCCAGAAUCAAACCUGACUACGAGCGGCGGCGCGACGACGC
rnacentral:rRNA from 1 species